GAGAGAGAGAGCUGUGGUAUUGAAACACGCGGAUGAUGUUCCAACAAAAUUGAAGAUAAGCAAGCCAGAGGUUGAUUUCUUCACCAUAGUUGGAUAGCCAUCUUUAUGGUGGAAGAUCAGUCUAAGUCAUCCAAGCAACACAUAAAACGAAACAUAUAGAAAGAGAGAGAUAUCUUUGACAAUGAAAAAUGUGGAUUAUGUUCCACCAAAAAUGAAGAUAAAUAAUCCAGAGAUUGAUUUCUUCAGCGUAGUUGGAUAGCCAUCUUUACAGUGAUUAUGGUCAGUCUAGGUCAUCUAACCAAUGUAUAGAAUGAAAUAUAAGGGAUAUCAUCAUCAUCAUCAUUAUUAUUUAAAUGAAAUCAAUGAUUUGAUAUGUGUUUCUCUCUUAAUGGAAGUAGAUCAAGGUGAUAAUGCUUGUAUUUUGUGCUUUAAUUGAUAUUGAUUAAGUUAUUGAUGCCUUUUGUGGUUCUGAGUUGAUGGAAAUUGUAACUGUUUUGGCCAGCCUUCGUAAAAAAAAAGAAAAGAAAAAACCUCAUAAAACCACAGAAACAUAACAGUUUUUGGGUUUUUAAGAAACAAUAAACUAAAAUGGCAACAAUACAGCCUUAUAUUUUGUUGUAUAAAACAGACAAUUUAGUAGAGCUCAAUCUUAAGACCUGAUUAUUCAAGUAAC
rnacentral:misc_RNA from 1 species